UUGUGAANUCUAACGGCUUAACCGUUAAACUGCUUGGGAAACUGAUAAUCUAGAGUAAGGGAGAGGCAGAUGGAAUUCUUGGUGUAGGGGUAAAAUCNGUAGAUAUCAAGAAGAAUACNUAUUGCGAAGGCGAUCUGCUGGAACUUAACUGACGCUAAUGCGUGAAAGCGUGGGGAGCAAACAGGAUUAGAUACCCUGGUAGUCCACGCCCUAAACGAUGUAUACCGGUUGUUGCUGUGCUAGUCACGGCAGUAAUCCACCUAACGGAUUAAGUAUACCGCCUGGGGAGUACGGUCGCAAGAUUAAAACUCAAAGGAAUAGGCGGGGACCCGCACAAGCGGUGGAGCAUGUGGUUUAAUUCGAAGAUACGCGAAGAACCUUACCCGGACUUGAUAUCUAACAAAUCAUCCAGAGAUGGAAGAGUGUCUGCUUGCAGAAAUGUUAAGACAGGUGCUGCACGGCUGUCGUCAGCUCGUGUCGUGAGAUGUUGGGUUAAGUCCCGCAACGAGCGCAACCCACGUCAUUAGUUGCUAACGGUUCGGCCGAGCACUCUAAUGAGACUGCCUUCGUAAGGAGGAGGAAGGUGUGGACGACGUCAAGUCAUCAUGGCCCUUAUGUCCGGGGCGACACACGUUCUACAAUGGCAUAUACAAUAAGACGCAAUAUCGCGAGAUGGAGCAAAUCUAAAAAAUAUGUCCCAGUUCGGAUUGGAGUCUGCAACUCGACUCCAUGAAGCCGGAAUCGCUAGUAAUCGUAGAUCAGCCAUGCUACGGUGAAUACGUUCCCGGGUCUUGUACUCACCGCCCGUCACACCAUGGGAGUUGAUUUCACUCG
rnacentral:rRNA from 1 species